rnacentral:rRNA from 1 species
GCAGCCGCCGCGGUAAUACGAAGGGGGCUAGCGUUGCUCGGAAUUACUGGGCGUAAAGGGAGCGUAGGCGGAUCGUUAAGUUGGGGGUGAAAGCCCGGGGCUCAACCUCGGAACUGCCUUCAAUACUGGCGACCUUGAGUAUGAGAGAGGUGUGUGGAACUCCGAGUGUAGAGGUGAAAUUCGUAGAUAUUCGGAAGAACACCAGUGGCGAAGGCGACACACUGGCUCAUUACUGACGCUGAGGCUCGAAAGCGUGGGGAGCAAACAGGAUUAGAUACCCCUGUAGUCCCUGUCUCUUAUAC